AUUGAACGCUGGCGGAAUGCUUUACACAUGCAAGUCGAACGGCAGCACGGACUUCGGUCUGGUGGCGAGUGGCGAACGGGUGAGUAAUACAUCGGAACGUGCCCAGUCGUGGGGGAUAACGUAGCGAAAGCUACGCUAAUACCGCAUACGAUCUAAGGAUGAAAGCGGGGGAUCGCAAGACCUCGCGCGAUUGGAGCGGCCGAUGGCAGAUUAGGUAGUUGGUAGGGUAAAGGCCUACCAAGCCGACGAUCUGUAGCUGGUCUGAGAGGAUGAUCAGCCACACUGGGACUGAGACACGGCCCAGACUCCUACGGGAGGCAGCAGUGGGGAAUUUUGGACAAUGGGCGCAAGCCUGAUCCAGCCAUUCCGCGUGCAGGAUGAAGGCCUUCGGGUUGUAAACUGCUUUUGUACAGAACGAAAAGGCUCUGGUUAAUACCCGGGGCACAUGACGGAACUGUAAGAAUAAGCACCGGCUAACUACGUGCCAGCAGCCGCCGUAA
rnacentral:rRNA from 1 species